GCAUAUUCUGUUUUGUGCGACAAUUUGCAUUUGAUGAUUCCCUUUGUCAUCCCAUAGAUUAGAUAAAACCAAAAAAAAAAGAUUCUUUUUGUAUACUAUGGUAAUCUAGUUCAUAUUAUGCCAGUAAUGAUUUUAGCUGUGGUUAAUCUCAAAUAGGAUUGAAAUUUUUGAAGAGGUGUGUAUCAAGUCAGUAGUCACAAAAUUAACCAGUUUGUAUUUAUAUCAUAGUUUGAGUGUGGCUCACCCUUUUAGUCUAUUACCUCCCUUUUGUCUCCCACCCCCUUCUUCCCUCUUUCAGAAAUGUUCUGAAAACUGUCAAGCAAAUUAUAUAUUCUGAAUACAGGGACUAAUGAUGUAAUUUUGUUUAUGGGGAAAACAUUACAAUUGCACAAAUUUUACAGCAAAUUUUCAUGUCCUGUAUUUCACAAAUGAACUAUGGUGCUUGACUUUUGUUCAAUGAGAAUAAAAUAUAUAAUGAUGGGGAUUGAGUAGCUAGCUGGUAGUUUCAUUAAUUAUGCUGCUUCAUGCAAUUGGGAAUAAUGUUAGGUGUUAAAUGUACUUGAAACUAUUCUGGAAUUUAAUUUUGAUGGAAAAUGCUUAUAAAAAUCGUGCUAUGAUAGCUGAAGUUUUUAAGUUAAUUUCUUUCUAGUUUCUUGCAACUUUUUGUUUCGUAAUUUUAGGAUAUCUCAGGGAUAUAGAUAUCUACAUGUACUAUUUAUUUAUGAUUAAUGAUUAUAUGUUAAUUAUAUAUAUAUAAAUGAAGAGAUAUGAAUAAAAUCACAACCCCAACUUUCCAAGCUCCCCUAUUAAAUUUGUCUUUUCUUCAAGUUAAUAUUGAUAAAUCUGUAUUGCAUACUUUAACAGUUUGAUCGGGAAAUUAGAUUUUAAUUCAAAGGUAGUAUUUUUAGCUGGUUUAAUAUUUGCUUGUUUUUGCUGAGAUACUAGCCAUUUAUUAAUGAUAAAAAAAAGAAGCAUUCCAUCUAGAUAGACAUCUUCUCAUUGAUGCUGUAUGCUGGUGAAUGCUGGUUUGUGAAUGCUUUUCAUCUCUCAUUCAACCAUUAACAACCAUAAUGUACACAGUUUUGUGAGAAUAUGUCUGUAUUUCACAUGUAUAUGUUGUAAGUUAUUUCUUCUUCUUUUUUAAGUGUACAUAUUGAUUGACAAAGCUUUUUGUUAAUGUUAUUAUAUUAAAAAUGCAAUAUACAUGU
rnacentral:sRNA from 1 species